rnacentral:rRNA from 1 species
AUUGAACGCUGGCGGCAUGCCUUACACAUGCAAGUCGAACGGUAACGCGGGGCAACCUGGCGACGAGUGGCGAACGGGUGAGUAAUGCAUCGGAACGUGCCCAGUAGUGGGGGAGUAGCCCGGCGAAAGCCGGAUUAAUACCGCAUACGACCUACGGGUGAAAGACGGGGGACCGGUAAGGCCUCGCGCUAUUGGAGCGGCCGAUGUCAGAUUAGGUAGUUGGUGGGGUAAAGGCCUACCAAGCCUACGAUCUGUAGCUGGUCUGAGAGGACGACCAGCCACACUGGGACUGAGACACGGCCCAGACUCCUACGGGAGGCAGCAGUGGGGAAUUUUGGACAAUGGGCGCAAGCCUGAUCCAGCCAUGCCGCGUGCGGGG